rnacentral:rRNA from 1 species
AUACGGAGGAUGCGAGCGUUAUCCGGAUUUAUUGGGUUUAAAGGGUGCGUAGGCGGCCUUGUAAGUCAGCGGUGAAAUUUUGCAGCUUGACUGUAAAAGUGCCGUUGAUACUGUGAGGCUAGGAUUUGGUUGCUGUGGGUGGAAUGUGUGGUGUAGCGGUGAAAUGCUUAGAGAUCACACAGAAUAUCGAUUGCGAAGGCAGCUCACAAAGCCAAGAUUGACGCUGAGGCACGAAAGUGUGGGGAUCAAACAGGAUUAGAUACCCUGGUAGUCCACACUGUAAACGAUGAUAACUCGCUGUCGGCGAUAUACAGUCGGUGGCCAAGCGAAAGCGAUAAGUUAUCCACCUGGGGAGUACGACCGCAAGGUUGAAACUCAAAUGAAUUGACGGGG